rnacentral:rRNA from 1 species
UGGGGAAUAUUGCACAAUGGGCGCAAGCCUGAUGCAGCCAUGCCGCGUGUAUGAAGAAGGCCUUCGGGUUGUAAAGUACUUUCAGCGGGGAGGAAGGGAGUAAAGUUAAUACCUUUGCUCAUUGACGUUACCCGCAGAAGAAGCACCGGCUAACUCCGUGCCAGCAGCCGCGGUAAUACGGAGGGUGCAAGCGUUAAUCGGAAUUACUGGGCGUAAAGCGCACGCAGGCGGUUUGUUAAGUCAGAUGUGAAAUCCCCGGGCUUAACCCGGGAAUUGCAUCUGAUACUGGUCAGCUAGAGUCUUGUAGAGGGGGGUAGAAUUCCAUGUGGAGCGGUGAAAUGCGUAGAGAUGUGGAGGAAUACCGGGGGCGAAGGCGGCCCCCUGGACAAAGACUGACGCUCAGGGGCGAAAGCGUGGGGAGCAAACAGG